GUGUCAGCCGCCGCGGUAAUACGGAGGAUGCAAGCGUUAUCCGGAUUUAUUGGGUUUAAAGGGUGCGUAGGCGGGAUCAUAAGUCAGUGGUGAAACCCUGCAGCUUAACUGUAGACUUGCCAUUGAUACUGUGGUUCUUGAGUGUGGUCAAGGGAGGCGGAAUGUGUAAUGUAGCGGUGAAAUGCUUAGAUAUUACACAGAACACCAAUUGCGAAGGCAGCUUUCUGGGCCAUUACUGACGCUGAUGCACGAAAGCGUGGGGAGCGAACAGGAUUAGAUACCCUGGUAGUCCACGCCGUAAACGAUGAUCACUAGCUGUUGGCGAUAUACUGUCAGCGGCAAAGCAAAAGCAUUAAGUGAUCCACCUGGGGAGUACGGCCGCAAGGCUGAAACUCAAAUGAAUUGGCGGGG
rnacentral:rRNA from 1 species